rnacentral:misc_RNA from 1 species
CCUCCGCUCGGAGAACACGGAACAGGAGUGUUUCCAUUCGACCGCCGCCACGCCGCACCACGGUCGCCGGAUAGAAGCCGGUAGAAUUUUCGGCGUAAUGAAUAAGAGCGAAUUGAUUUUGCUUCUGCACUCUAAAUGAAGAUCGAAGCCGAUCUUGCAAUUGUGGAUUUAAUCCUCGCAGUAACUUUGGGGAAAGAUGAACCUGCGUUAAUUAAGAUGCCUCCGUUGCGGCGAGAAGGUAAAAUUGAAUAAAGGUUAUAUAUAAGUGCAAGAAUGUUGGCACAAGUUGCGAUUUGAAAAUUUUAAGAUGGCGCCGGUUCUGGCAGCUCUGACAGUCACUCCGUGAUCUUUUGUCAGCUGUAGUUGGUUGUGCACCUUUUUCAUCUUUUAUUAAAUUAUUUUCAUCAUUGCUCGUAUCGCUGAAAGCGAGAGGAGAUCGAUAGAAAGGUCGUUCCAAUUGCAUUAUCGCAUUUCAAUCCGUAUUCAUCUCGUAUACAUCUCUAAACGUCACUUCUAAACAUCAAAAUGAAAGUAACGAUUAAAAGCUGGACAGGUGUCGCUACUUGGAGGUGGAUAGCGAAUGAUGAUAAUUGCGGCAUAUGCAGAAUGCCGUUCGAUGCUAGCUGUCCGGAUUGCAAGAUUCCUGGAGAUGACUGUCCACUAGUGUGGGGGCAGUGCUCGCAUUGUUUCCACAUACACUGCAUCAUGAAGUGGCUGCACUCGCAGCAGACCAGCCACAUCUGCCCGAUGUGUCGCCAGGAGUGGAAAUUCAAGGAGUAACCGCCGACGCUUUCCGCACGGGCCCGCAGGUGUCAGCACGCAGCGAGUAAUCAGCAUACAGGAAAGGAUCGCGAUGUCUUCCUUGCAAGGAUUACCCCCGCUGCCGAGGAGCCUGAGCGGCUUCAAUCUGAGCAGCGGACGCGGCGAGAGCGGCGAGCCACCUCCGCCGCCCACGAGGUCGUCCAGUAAAUCCCAAAGAAGCGGUAAAACGUCGUCGUCGAGACCGUCGCCACCUGCUAGACAGCUCA